AAUAGACAUUUUAUAUUAGUCUCUGUUCAUGGGUUGUGUAUGUCGGUGACCUCAGUGUUACGUGUCUCGCAUUCGGUCACACGCGAGUGAAAAAUAUACAGUGGUGCAUAGCGGCCACCGCGACGUCCUUUACUACUGGAAUUCCAACUGGUCACGGCUGCACUAACAGAUACGUGACUAGUGUAGAUUUUAACAUUAGUUCGAUGUACUUGAAUGCUCAAGAACUAGCAGCUAACAUUCAUCCGGAGGGCGACAAUAGUUGCAAAACAUGAUCAGAUUCGUGUGUGUCCAACGACCCCAAGCACAUGUCUUACGUCAAAAUGCGGGACAACUACAUUGUGAACCGUGAUAAGACGGUUUUACAAGGGAUAAUCGUGGUGUCCUAGGGAUAAAGCAAAGGACAGGUUUUGGGAGACGAAAAUGGCGACGAAGUUGGUCCAUUCCAUUCUAUGGUGCGUUUAGUGGGCUUCCUGUUACCCUCUCGACUAGUUCCAUUAUACGGGUAAAUUUUCAGAUGUCGGAGGGUGUAAAACUACCCCGAGUUGAACCCAUUCAACUCUGAAGGUUUUGUUGAAAAUUUUCUACUGUUGGACUCAAGAGGAUUUUCCUUAUUAAAAAAGGAUAUUCCGAUCAGAUUGGAAGUAACACCGUCUGACCAAAUGAAGCGUAGAAAACUAGAGAGUGACCUGGAUAUUGGCUUGGAAAAUAAGGUAGAAUCUAGUAUCCAGAACUUAUUUUUUUCCCUCUUCAAUUCCCUGCAUAUUUUUUUCCUUCGUCUUUCCCAUUUACAAUUCUGUUGCAAUUCCCGAAUAAAACUUGUGAUGCUUCCCCCUCCCCCUUACUUCCGACUCUUUCGCUCAAUUUCACUAUUCCACUUCCAUCCUAUUUUUUACUUCUUAUUGAGAAGAAGCAAAAAAAAAUGUGGCCAUAUAUGAGCUGAUGAUGCUUUUAUUCCAUUCUCUACUCCCUCGGGUUGAAUUUUUUUCGUAUUCCAAUGAAAUAAGAGUAAAAAAAUAUAAAAGGAAAGAUAAGCCGUAUUUCUUUUCAAUUUUUCAUUUCCCAGAGCUAAUCUUAUCUUGGAAAACAAUAAUAAGAUCUAGAAAUAACAGAGGAAUAGAGAGGAGUUUUGUCAGGUUGUGAGUUACAACUUUAUUGGAUUUCCAGGAGACAUGCGGUAUGUUUUAAGGGUCACUCUAGGGGGAGAAAUAGUUUAAUAAAAAUUGCGUAAAUGUUUUGUAUUUUCCGUGUGAAAAACAAGCAGACGACCGAUGCUAUUCGACAUAAGUGAUGUGACCGAUACUUUACGCGUUUUUAUUUAUUUUUUUCAUUCAUUUCCUUCCAUUCGAUUAGUACUAUUCUUCUGAAUGGAUCCGCCCCAGCUCGAUUUAAAAAAUGAAAAGGUUUCUACCUCCACGAUGUGAGUUAGUUGUGGUGCUGACA